rnacentral:rRNA from 1 species
AUUGAACGCUGGCGGCAGGCCUAACACAUGCAAGUCGAGCGAGCGGCGGACGGGGGAGUAAUGUCUGUGAAAAUGCCUGAUGGAGGGGGAGAACAACUGGAAACGGUAGCUAAUAUAGCAUACCAUCAGAUGUGGCCCGAUGGGAUUAGCUCGUGGGUGGGGUAAUGGCUCACCUAGGCGACGAUCCCUAGCUGGUCUGAGAGGAUGACCAGCCACACUGGAACUGAGACACGGUCCAGACUCCUACGGGAGGCAGCAGUGGGGAAUAUUGCACAAUGGGCGCAAGCCUGAUGCAGCCAUGCCGCGUGUAUGAAGAAGGCCUUCGGGUUGUAAAGUACUUUCAGCGAGGAGGCGUUACUCGCAGAAGAAGCACCGGCUAACUCCGUGCCAGCAGCCGCGGUAAUUC